UGCCUCAGUAACGGCGAGUGAAGCGGCAACAGCUCAAAUUUGAAAUCUGGCCCCCUCGGGGCCCGAGUUGUAAUUUGUAGAGGAUGUUUCGGGUGUGGCUCCGGUCUAAGUUCCUUGGAACAGGACGUCAUAGAGGGUGAGAAUCCCGUAUGUGACUGGCAGCCUACGCCCAUGUGAAACUCCUUCGACGAGUCGAGUUGUUUGGGAAUGCAGCUCAAAAUGGGUGGUAAAUUUCAUCUAAAGCUAAAUAUUGGCCAGAGACCGAUAGCGCACAAGUAGAGUGAUCGAAAGAUGAAAAGCACUUUGGAAAGAGAGUUAAACAGUACGUGAAAUUGUUGAAAGGGAAGCGCUUGCAACCAGACUUGCGUGCGGCCGAUCAUCCGGUGUUCUCACCGGUGCACUCGGUCGUGCUCAGGCCAGCAUCGGUUUCGGCGGCUGGAUAAAGGCCAUGGGAAUGUAGCUCCUCUCGGGGAGUGUUAUAGCCCGUGGUGCAAUGCAGCCCGCUGGGACCGAGGACCGCGCUUCGGCUAGGAUGCUGGCGUAAUGGUUGUAAGCGACCCGUCUUGAAACACGGACCAAGGAGUCUAACAUCUAUGCGAGUGUUUGGGUGUCAAACCCAUACGCGGAAUGAAAGUGAACGGAGGUGAGAACCCUUAAGGGUGCAUCAUCGACCGAUCCUGAUGUCUUCGGAUGGAUUUGAGUAAGAGCAUAGCUGUUGGGACCCGAAAGAUGGUGAACUAUGCCUGAAUAGGGUGAAGCCAGAGGAAACUCUGGUGGAGGCUCGCAGCGGUUCUGACGUGCAAAUCGAUCGUCAAAUUUGGGUAUA
rnacentral:rRNA from 1 species